UUGAAGAUGAUUUGCAAAUCCUUGUAUUCUGUUUUUAUUUAUGUUGAACACAAUUUCCCCAACUUCAUCGGAAUUGGAGUUUGGAUGUUUUGUUUCUC